GACCUGGCUGGGUGGUCUUGCCGAAAGGUAAGCACUGCUCCGGUCGGGUCUUUCCUUCUGGGGAACCAGUGUGCUCUUAAUUGGGUGCGCUGGGGAUCCAGGACUUUUACUUUGAAAAAAUUAGAGUGUUUAAAGCAGGCGAAACAGCUUGAAUACAUUAGCAUGGAAUAAUAAAACAGG
rnacentral:rRNA from 1 species